rnacentral:tRNA from 1 species
GAUGCCCCGGUAGCUCAGUGGUAGAGUUCCUGUAUGUGUUGAGCGAAAGCGCCUAGCAAUAACUAUCAGGAGGUUGCAGGUUCGAAUCCUGCCGGUGGCUA